rnacentral:lncRNA from 1 species
AAUCUCUGUAAACUGGAUAUUUAACUGUUUUACAGGGUGAAGUUGGUGAUCAGGGUUACCCAGGAUCACAGGGACCCCCAGGGUCAAAGGGUGAGCAGGGAGAGCCAGGUCCUCAGGGUGAACGAGGAACCGAUGGUCUGCCAGGCUUAAAGGGAGAUAAAGGAGAUGUUGGAGAACAAGGGCCCCAGGGCGAACCGGGCCACCCUGGUGAGAAAGGCACAUCAGCUUCCGGUGACAUCAUUGACUUCAAUGGCAAACUCUUAGAUGCCUUUCAGGUGAGCUGU